rnacentral:misc_RNA from 1 species
UCCGGUUUGUCACCGGCAGUCUCGCAUGAGUCCCCAACUAAAUGCUGGCAACAUACGACGGGGGUUGCGCUCGUUGCGGGACUUAACCCAACAUCUCACGACACGAGCUGACGACAGCCAUGCACCACCUGUGAAAGUGCCCCGAAGGGAAGCGGUGUUUCCACCGCGGUCACUCACAUGUCAAACCCAGGUAAGGUUCUUCGCGUUGCGUCGAAUUAAACCACAUGCUCCACUGCUUGUGCGGGCCCCCGUCAAUUCUUUUGAGUUUCACCCUUGCGAGCGUACUCCUCAGGUGGCAUACUUAACGCGUUAGCUCCGAAACAGAAAGGGUUGAGCCUUCCUACUUCUAGUAUGCAUCGUUUACGGCUAGGACUAC